UGGGGGGGGGGGGGGGGCUGCAGCCCCCCCCCCUCCCCCCCUCCCCAAUAA
rnacentral:miRNA from 1 species